AAAUGAAUUGACGGGGGCCCGCACAAGCGGUGGAGCAUGUGGUUUAAUUCGAAGCAACGCGAAGAACCUUACCUACUCUUGACAUCCAGUGAACUUAGCAGAGAUGCUUUGGUGCCUUCGGGAACACUGAGACAGGUGCUGCAUGGCUGUCGUCAGCUCGUGUUGUGAAAUGUUGGGUUAAGUCCCGUAACGAGCGCAACCCUUGUCCUUAGUUGCCAUCAUUUAGUUGGGGACUCUAAGGAGACUGCCGGUGACAAACCGGAGGAAGGCGGGGACGACGUCAAGUCAUCAUGGCCCUUACGAGUAGGGCUACACACGUGCUACAAUGGCCGGUACAGAGGGUUGCCAAGCCGCGAGGUGGAGCUAAUCUCACAAAGCCGGUCGUAGUCCGGAUUGGAGUCUGCAACUCGACUCCAUGAAGUCGGAAUCGCUAGUAAUCGUGAAUCAGAAUGUCACGGUGAAUACGUUCCCGGGCCUUGUACACACCGCCCGU
rnacentral:rRNA from 1 species